rnacentral:rRNA from 1 species
UACAGAGGGUGCAAGCGUUAAUCGGAAUUACUGGGCGUAAAGCGUGCGCAGACGGUUGCGUAAGUCAGAUGUGAAAGCCCCGGGCUCAACCUGGGAAUUGCAUUUGAGACUGCGUAGCUAGGGUGCGGAAGAGGGAAGCGGAAUUUCCGGUGUAGCGGUGAAAUGCGUAGAUAUCGGAAGGAACACCAGUGGCGAAAGCGGCUCCUGGUCCAGCACCGGACGUCAGGCACGAAAGCGUGGGGAGCAAACAGG